UACGGAGGGUGCAAGCGUUAUCCGGAUUUACUGGGUUUAAAGGGUGCGUAGGUGGGCAGGUAAGUCAGUGGUGAAAUCUCCGAGCUUAACUCGGAAACUGCCAUUGAUACUAUCUGUCUUGAAUAUCCUGGAGGUAAGCGGAAUAUGUCAUGUAGCGGUGAAAUGCUUAGAUAUGACAUAGAACACCAAUUGCGAAGGCAGCUGGCUACACAAAUAUUGACACUGAGGCACGAAAAGCGUGGGGGAUCAAACAGG
rnacentral:rRNA from 1 species